UACGGAGGGUGCAAGCGUUGCUCGGAAUUAUUGGGCGUAAAGGGCAGGUAGGUGGUCUUGUUUGUCUGAGGUGAAAUCCCAGGCUUAACCCUGGAAGUGCCUUAGAAACGGCAAGACUAGAGUCUUAGAGGGGGUCGUGGAAUUCCCGGUGUAGCGGUGAAAUGCGUAGAGAUCGGGAGGAACACCAGAAGCGAAGGCGGCGACCUGGAUAAGAACUGACACUCAACUGCGAAAGCGUGGGGAGCAAACAGG
rnacentral:rRNA from 1 species